UACGUAGGGUGCGAGCGUUGUCCGGAAUUAUUGGGCGUAAAGAGCUCGUAGGCGGUUUGUCGCGUCUGCUGUGAAAACGCGAGGCUCAACCUCGCGCCUGCAGUGGGUACGGGCAGACUAGAGUGCGGUAGGGGAGAUUGGAAUUCCUGGUGUAGCGGUGGAAUGCGCAGAUAUCAGGAAGAACACCCGUGGCGAAGGCGGCUCUCUGGAACGCAACUGACGCUGAGACGCGAAAGCGUGGGGAGCAAACAGG
rnacentral:rRNA from 1 species